rnacentral:lncRNA from 1 species
UUGUAGUGAUUAUCAAAGGAAUUAUGUCAAUCAAGAACGAGUUCCUACAUUAAGGUAUAAAGUAAUGAUCUUUAUAAAUAUUUUUUAUAAUUCUUCAAUUAGUUUAGUUGCGCAAAAUUAAUAAGUUUGUCUUGUAAGUAUUACAGAGAGUUUGGAGUCCUAUGUGUGCCAUUAGUGCAUCAUUGCCAUCUACUAUGAUGGGUCUGUCUCUAUUGGUUGGUCAAAAUAAGUGGUAGGUGAUUGUAUGAUUUAGUUAUAUGAAAAUUGGAUCAAUGCAAAUAGUUAAUUUUAAAUAUCUUCGCAGGUUGACUAUCCCUCAUAAUCAAAGUAAAGGUUCAUCAUCUAGUGUUCGUGAAUGGACCAAUUAGGAAAUGAGAACUGCAAUUGAUAAUGAUGACGUAAUUGGAAGUGAUGAGGAGUAUGUUAUUGAAAGUGAUGAAGAGGAUCAAAAGCGAAUUGAUGCUGAUUCUAGUGAUGAUGAGGAAUCCUUUAUUCCGUAUUCGUUGGAUUCUGAUCAUGAUGGUGGUUUGAAUACACUUGCAUGCACUAUUCGAGAUGAAGGUGUUGAAUGGAUCGAAAAUUCAAAUGUCAACAAUGAUGAUGUAUCGGACCCGGUGGAAUUCGAGGAAUUUGAAGAU